rnacentral:rRNA from 1 species
UACGUAGGUGGCAAGCGUUAUCCGGAAUUAUUGGGCGUAAAGCGCGCGCAGGUGGCUUCUUAAGUCUGAUGUGAAAGCCCACGGCUCAACCGUGGAGGGUCAUUGGAAACUGGGAGACUUGAGUGCAGAAGAGGAAAGUGGAAUUCCAUGUGUAGCGGUGAAAUGCGUAGAGAUAUGGAGGAACACCAGUGGCGAAGGCGACUUUCUGGUCUGUAACUGACACUGAGGCGCGAAAGCGUGGGGAGCAAACAGGAUUAGAAACCCGUGUAGUCC